rnacentral:piRNA from 1 species
UCACUAGAGAGCCGUGCUAGGUGGGGGUCU